rnacentral:rRNA from 1 species
UAUCAAUUAAGCGGAGGAAAAGAAACCAACAGGGAUUGCCCUAGUAACGGCGAGUGAAGCGGCAACAGCUCAAAUUUGAAAUCUGGCUCUUUCAGAGUCCGAGUUGUAAUUUGCAGAGGGCGCUUUGGCUUUGGCAGCGGUCCAAGUUCCUUGGAACAGGACGUCACAGAGGGUGAGAAUCCCGUACGUGGUCGCUAGCUAUUGCCGUGUAAAGCCCCUUCGACGAGUCGAGUUGUUUGGGAAUGCAGCUCUAAAUGGGAGGUAAAUUUCUUCUAAAGCUAAAUAUUGGCCAGAGACCGAUAGCGCACAAGUAGAGUGAUCGAAAGAUGAAAAGCACUUUGGAAAGGAGUCAAACAGCACGUGAAAUUGUUGAAAGGGAAGCGCUUGCAGCCAGACUUGCUUGCAGUUGCUCAUCCGGGCUUUUGCCCGGUGCACUCUUCUGCAGGCAGGCCAGCAUCAGUUUGGGCGGUGGGAUAAAGGUCUCUGACACGUUCCUUCCUUCGGGUUGGCCAUAUAGGGGAGACGUCAUACCACCAGCCUGGACUGAGGUCCGCGCAUCUGCUAGGAUGCUGGCGUAAUGGCUGUAAGCGGCCCGUCUUGA